rnacentral:rRNA from 1 species
GGAAUAUUGCACAAUGGGGGAAACCCUGAUGCAGCGACGCCGCGUGAAGGACGAAGUAUUUCGGUAUGUAAACUUCUAUCAGCAGGGAAGAAAAUGACGGUACCUGACUAAGAAGCCCCGGCUAACUACGUGCCAGCAGCCGCGGUAAUACGUAGGGGGCAAGCGUUAUCCGGAUUUACUGGGUGUAAAGGGAGCGUAGACGGCAGUGCAAGUCUGAUGUGAAAGGCAUGGGCUCAACCCGUGGACUGCAUUGGAAACUGUACGGCUUGAGUGUCGGAGGGGUAAGCGGAAUUCCUAGUGUAGCGGUGAAAUGCGUAGAUAUUAGGAGGAACACCGGUGGCGAAGGCGGCUUACUGGACGAUAACUGACGUUGAGGCUCGAAAGCGUGGGGAGCAAACA